rnacentral:hammerhead_ribozyme from 1 species
AUCCGGCUGACGAGUCCCAAAUAAGAUGAAAUGCGCAUCCUGGAU